rnacentral:rRNA from 1 species
CCUUCGGGUGGCUGCAGUGAGGAAUAUUGGUCAAUGGGCGGAAGCCUGAACCAGCCAAGUAGCGUGCAGGAUGACGGCCCUACGGGUUGUAAACUGCUUUUAUACGGGAAUAACGCGCCUUACGUGUAGGGUUUUGCAUGUACCGUAUGAAUAAGGACCGGCUAAUUCCGUGCCAGCAGCCGCGGUAAUACGGAAGGUCCGGGCGUUACCCGGAUUUAUUGGGUUUAAAGGGAGCGUAGGCCGGAUGUCAAGCGUGCUGUGAAAUGUCCGGGCUCAACCCGGGAUUUGCAGCGCGAACUGGCAGGCUUGAGUCCGCGGGAGGCAGGCGGAAUUCGUCGUGUAGCGGUGAAAUGCUUAGAUAUGACGAAGAACCCCGAUUGCGAAGGCAGCUUGCUGCAGCAGAACUGACGCUGAUGCUCGAAAGCGCGGGUAUCGAACAGGAUUAGAUACCCGGGUAGUC